GAUUAAGUUAUUAAGGGCGCACGGUGGAUGCCUUGGCACUAGAAGCCGAUGAAGGACGUUACUAACGACGAUAUGCUUUGGGGAGCUGUAAGUAAGCUUUGAUCCAGAGAUUUCCGAAUGGGGAAACCCAGCAUGAGUUAUGUCAUGUUAUCGAUAUGUGAAUACAUAGCAUAUCAGAAGGCACACCCGGAGAACUGAAACAUCUUAGUACCCGGAGGAAGAGAAAGAAAAUUCGAUUCCCUUAGUAGCGGCGAGCGAAACGGGAAGAGCCCAAACCAAAAAGCUUGCUUGUUGGGGUUGUAGGACACUCUAUACGGAGUUACAAAGGACGACAUUAGACGAAUCAUCUGGAAAGAUGAAUCAAAGAAGGUAAUAAUCCUGUAGUCGAAAAUGUUGUCUCUCUUGAGUGGAUCCUGAGUACGACGGAGCACGUGAAAUUCCGUCGGAAUCUGGGAGGACCAUCUCCUAAGGCUAAAUACUCUCUAGUGACCGAUAGUGAACCAGUACCGUGAGGGAAAGGUGAAAAGCACCCCGGAAGGAGAGUGAAAUAGAACCUGAAACCGUGUGCUUACAAGUAGUCAGAGCCCGUUAAUGGGUGAUGGCGUGCCUUUUGUAGAAUGAACCGGCGAGUUACGAUUUGAUGCAAGGUUAAGCAGUAAAUGUGGAGCCGUAGCGAAAGCGAGUCUGAAUAGGGCGUUUAGUAUUUGGUCGUAGACCCGAAACCAGGUGAUCUACCCUUGGUCAGGUUGAAGUUCAGGUAACACUGAAUGGAGGACCGAACCGACUUACGUUGAAAAGUGAGCGGAUGAACUGAGGGUAGCGGAGAAAUUCCAAUCGAACCUGGAGAUAGCUGGUUCUCUCCGAAAUAGCUUUAGGGCUAGCCUCAAGUGAUGAUUAUUGGAGGUAGAGCACUGUUUGGACGAGGGGCCCCUCUCGGGUUACCGAAUUCAGACAAACUCCGAAUGCCAAUUAAUUUAACUUGGGAGUCAGAACAUGGGUGAUAAGGUCCGUGUUCGAAAGGGAAACAGCCCAGACCACCAGCUAAGGUCCCAAAAUAUAUGUUAAGUGGAAAAGGAUGUGGCGUUGCCCAGACAACUAGGAUGUUGGCUUAGAAGCAGCCAUCAUUUAAAGAGUGCGUAAUAGCUCACUAGUCGAGUGACACUGCGCCGAAAAUGUACCGGGGCUAAACAUAUUACCGAAGCUGUGGAUUGUCCUUUGGACAAUGGUAGGAGAGCGUUCUAAGGGCGUUGAAGCAUGAUCGUAAGGACAUGUGGAGCGCUUAGAAGUGAGAAUGCCGGUGUGAGUAGCGAAAGACGGGUGAGAAUCCCGUCCACCGAUUGACUAAGGUUUCCAGAGGAAGGCUCGUCCGCUCUGGGUUAGUCGGGUCCUAAGCUGAGGCCGACAGGCGUAGGCGAUGGAUAACAGGUUGAUAUUCCUGUACCACCUAUAAUCGUUUUAAUCGAUGGGGGGACGCAGUAGGAUAGGCGAAGCGUGCGAUUGGAUUGCACGUCUAAGCAGUAAGGCUGAGUAUUAGGCAAAUCCGGUACUCGUUAAGGCUGAGCUGUGAUGGGGAGAAGACAUUGUGUCUUCGAGUCGUUGAUUUCACACUGCCGAGAAAAGCCUCUAGAUAGAAAAUAGGUGCCCGUACCGCAAACCGACACAGGUAGUCAAGAUGAGAAUUCUAAGGUGAGCGAGCGAACUCUCGUUAAGGAACUCGGCAAAAUGACCCCGUAACUUCGGGAGAAGGGGUGCUCUUUAGGGUUAACGCCCAGAAGAGCCGCAGUGAAUAGGCCCAAGCGACUGUUUAUCAAAAACACAGGUCUCUGCUAAACCGUAAGGUGAUGUAUAGGGGCUGACGCCUGCCCGGUGCUGGAAGGUUAAGAGGAGUGGUUAGCUUCUGCGAAGCUACGAAUCGAAGCCCCAGUAAACGGCGGCCGUAACUAUAACGGUCCUAAGGUAGCGAAAUUCCUUGUCGGGUAAGUUCCGACCCGCACGAAAGGCGUAACGAUUUGGGCACUGUCUCAACGAGAGACUCGGUGAAAUCAUAGUACCUGUGAAGAUGCAGGUUACCCGCGACAGGACGGAAAGACCCCGUGGAGCUUUACUGUAGCCUGAUAUUGAAAUUCGGCACAGCUUGUACAGGAUAGGUAGGAGCCUUUGAAACGUGAGCGCUAGCUUACGUGGAGGCGCUGGUGGGAUACUACCCUAGCUGUGUUGGCUUUCUAACCCGCACCACUUAUCGUGGUGGGAGACAGUGUCAGGCGGGCAGUUUGACUGGGGCGGUCGCCUCCUAAAAGGUAACGGAGGCGCUCAAAGGUUCCCUCAGAAUGGUUGGAAAUCAUUCAUAGAGUGUAAAGGCAUAAGGGAGCUUGACUGCGAGACCUACAAGUCGAGCAGGGUCGAAAGACGGACUUAGUGAUCCGGUGGUUCCGCAUGGAAGGGCCAUCGCUCAACGGAUAAAAGCUACCCCGGGGAUAACAGGCUUAUCUCCCCCAAGAGUUCACAUCGACGGGGAGGUUUGGCACCUCGAUGUCGGCUCAUCGCAUCCUGGGGCUGUAGUCGGUCCCAAGGGUUGGGCUGUUCGCCCAUUAAAGCGGUACGCGAGCUGGGUUCAGAACGUCGUGAGACAGUUCGGUCCCUAUCCGUCGUGGGCGUAGGAAAUUUGAGAGGAGCUGUCCUUAGUACGAGAGGACCGGGAUGGACAUACCUCUGGUGUACCAGUUGUCGUGCCAACGGCAUAGCUGGGUAGCUAUGUGUGGACGGGAUAAGUGCUGAAAGCAUCUAAGCAUGAAGCCCCCCUCAAGAUGAGAUUUCCCAACUUCGGUUAUAAGAUCCCUCAAAGAUGAUGAGGUUAAUAGGUUCGAGGUGGAAGCAUGGUGACAUGUGGAGCUGACGAAUACUAAUCGAUCGAAGACUUAAUCAA
rnacentral:rRNA from 1 species